rnacentral:lncRNA from 1 species
CCCUUUUUGGCUUGAUUUUCUUCAAAAUAUUCUUGAUCCUCCUUGUUCUUCUGCAUGAUCUUUGUUCUUUAUAUAUAUUCUUCAUAUAUCACUACUGUUUGGCAUGUUUAAAAAUGGAGCUUUUGGGGUUAAAAAAUAUAUUAGCCCUUUUCGGGUUAAAAAUAUUGGAGCCCUUUUGCAGGGUUAAAAGUAAGCUUUAUUUU